GACGAACGCUGGCGGCGUGCUUAACACAUGCAAGUCGAACGGUAAGGCCCUUCGGGGUACACGAGUGGCGAACGGGUGAGUAACACGUGGGUGAUCUGCCCUGCACUUCGGGAUAAGCCUGGGAAACUGGGUCUAAUACCGGAUAGGACCACUGCCUGCAUGGGUGGUGGUGGAAAGCUUUUGCGGUGUGGGAUGGGCCCGCGGCCUAUCAGCUUGUUGGUGGGGUGAUGGCCUACCAAGGCGACGACGGGUAGCCGGACUGAGAGGGUGACCGGCCACACUGGUACUUAGAUACGGCCCAGACUCCUACGGGAGGCAGCAGUGGGGAAUAUUGCACAAUGGGCGCAAGCCUGAUGCAGCGACGCCGCGUGAGGGAUGACGGCCUUCGGGUUGUAAACCUCUUUCAGCACCGACGAAGCGCAAGUGACGGUAGGUGCAGAAGAAGUACCGGCCAACUACGUGCCAGCCGCCGCGGUAA
rnacentral:rRNA from 1 species